CUUGAUAUCCACUGUGGAAUUCGCCCUUCUUGGACAUUUAGAGGAAGUAAAAGUCGUAACAAGGUUUCCGUAGGUGAACCUGCGGAAGGAUCAUUAAAGAAUACAAUACACACAUGGAUUCGGGCCAACAACACACCAAAUUUUUUUAUUUUUGACAAACAAACCAAAAGAAAAAAAAAACUCCUAGCAACGGAUCUCUUGGCUCUCGCAUCGAUGAAGAACGCAGCGAAUCGCGAUACGUAUUACGACUUGCAGACGUGAGGCAUCAAUCUUUGAACGCACAUUGCGCCUUGGAGCAUUCUCCAAGGCAUGCCUGGGUGAGCGUCGAUUUUCCUCAGGCCCCCCCCGGCCUGGUUUUGUCGCGCAACUCCACAAUCAAGAUUACCGUCUUGACCUCAUCCAGGUAGGACUACCCGCUGAACUUAAGCAUAUCAAUAAGCGGAGGAAAAGAAACCAACCGGGAUUGCCCCAGUAACGGCGAGUGAAGCGGCAAAAGCUCAAAUUUGUAAUCCUGCGGGAGUUGUAAUUUGAAGGCCGGCAGCGCCGCCAGAACGUCUUUCGAAGUCCAUUGGAACAUGGCGCCAGGGAGGGUGACAGCCCCGUGCGAAAGAAGGUUUUGGUGGAGCUCGUUGCCGACCAAAGAGUCGAGUUGUUUGGGAAUGCAGCUCAAACAGGUGGUAAAUCCCAUCUAAAGCUAAAUACCGGCGAGAGACCGAUAGCGAACAAGUACAGUGAUGGAAAGAUGAAAAGCACUUUGAAAAGAGAGUGAAACAGUACGUGAAAUUGCUGGGAGGGAAGGGCUUGCAAGCAGACACGGGUCAAACCGGGCCAGCAUCAGGUGGCUGGGGCGCCAUACGCGCGCGGGAACGUGGCAGGAGAAACUCUUCUCCUGUGUUAUAGCCCGCGUUGUUCUCGCCCUGCCGCCUGAGGCCAGCGAUUCCAAGGAUGCUGGCGUAAUGGUUGCAAGCCGCCCGUCUUGAAACACUGAUCCAAGGGCGAAUUCCAGCAUUGGGA
rnacentral:rRNA from 1 species